rnacentral:rRNA from 1 species
UACGUAGGGUGCGAGCGUUAAUCGGAAUUUCUGGGCGUAAAGCGUGCGCAGGCGGUGAGUUGUGUCUGAUGUGAAAGCCCCGGGCUUAACCUGGGAAUGGCAUUGGAAACUAACGGGCUCGAGUGUGUCAGAGGGGGGUGGAAUUCCACGUGUAGCAGUGAAAUGCGUAGAGAUGUGGAGGAACACCGAUGGCGAAGGCAGCCCCCUGGGCUAACACUGACGCUCAGGCACGAAAGCGUGGGGAGCAAACAGG